GUCAACAUGGCAUAGUGGUUUGAUUGUUAGACUAGGACUCUAGAAACCAGGGUUUGAUUCCCAGCUUUGCUA